GUCCAGAUCAUGUUUUCAGGUUCAGAACACAAUUUCAUGCGUCUGAAAGUACAAUAUUCAAAAGUUCUCAUCGCUUGAUGUACAUUUUUACACGUGAUUCUUCAGCAUGUCCUUUCUGCCAUGAACAGGUGAAUAAAGUGCCUAUCUUCUUAAUUUCACACGUUUUGAAAUGAAGCAUUUCUUUACACCUGAUUUUUUUUUUCUCACCUUUUUGUUUUUGCUUUUACAACUGUAGAAAACGCGUGACAAAUGUGAAGGUUUUUUUUUCAAAGUAGGAAAAUGCUAUAGAUGAUUUUCUCUGCCCCAAAAGCCUUUAUAUUUAGAAAAACUAAUGUUUAUAUAGAAGUCCAUUCAUUGAUUCCUUCAAGUAAGCUUAUGAUCGGAAAAACAUCGACAGAGGAGCUCCUUCUCUAACGUUAACAAUCUGUAAGUGUGCAAUUUUAUUUCCAGAUUCUAGAUAUAUAUUUAUACAUUCCAUCAUGGUUUUACAACUAGUACAGUAUAGCGUUUAUGGAUGUGUAUUUAUCUUCCGAAAGUCCGCUAGCAUGUUGUGCUAUAAGCUUCCCAUACUAUUGUAUUUUAGUUAGCUAAGUUAGCUGUCUUUUAUACUGACUAACGUUAGGCAAGAGGGUGUUGUACCUAGUUUGUUUACUCAUGUCAUAGUGAAAACGUCGCCCUUUUCUGACAAGUCAUUUCAUGCCAACUGUCAGCCCAGGAACUUGUGAUAUAAAUCCAUGUCGUCAUCGUUAUGUUACUGAAACUAACGUUGCUAUCUAUUUCAUGCCUGCUAGUUAACAGUACAAUGUUAGCUAUUUUGUGUGCUAACCCAGCUUCCUAUUUAUUUUUCAAAGGCAGGAUGGAGACACUGGGAUGUAUGUCAGAGACCCAUACAGUAGUAACCCCGCCGUAGGCUUGCUUGACAUCUACCAAGAGGUCUGGACCUUUAUGGCUCAGAAAGAACAGGAUAGGUCUAAACAAAGAUACUGGUCAUAUAGCUUUUGUCAAGUGUGUUUAAACUACACUGAUCCAGGGCAAGCAGCCCUGGUCCCACUCCUCUCCCUCAAUCACUACAGUGGCAUUACUUGAACUUCUAUCGCUCCUGUAGCACCAGCAGGUUGGAGAUGUGGACACCACCAUUCCCAUUAUGUACCGCUUCUGUUUUUCAUUUCUUUCUACUUGGAACUGUGGUUCACACAUGUUAUGUUGUCUAAUUCCAGGUGCAUACAGGAAGAAUUUUAUUUUUGUAUACUCCCAUUUUAUUAUAGUGGUCUUUCCACAUGUCAUAAAUAGAGUAGAUGGUUAAAGGGCAUUCCUUUCGUUUGACAUGUGUGCUCAAAGUGUUUAAUCUCUGUCAUUGUGUUUUACAGCAAUCUUCUUCAACGUGGUGACGUGGAACAACCUGAAUUUUUAUUUCUGUUGGUAAGGUAUGGCUUGUGUGAGGUGGUGGGAUUUGUGUGAGUUUAUUUUUUGGUUGUUGAUGAUGAUGAUGAUGACCAGGAGGUGGAUGGCAAAGGGGAGAUCAGAAAAGGUCCUAACCACUAGGUGGUUCUGGAAUCCUGGGAAGGGGGUGCCCUUUAACCAUCUACUCUGUGUUGAUCAAGGUGUUUAUAUGUUGUUUGUUGGGGUGGUUGUGUAGUCUAGAAGGGGGUGCCCGGCCGUGUUGAUCAAGGUGUUUAUAUGUUGUUGUUUGUUGGGGUGGUUGUGUAGUCUAGAAGGGGGUGCCCGGCCGUGUUGAUCAAGGUGUUUAUAUGUUGUUUGUUGGGGUGGUUGUGUAGUCUAGAAGGGGGUGCCCGGACGUGUUGAUCAAGGUGUUUAUAUGUUGUUGUUGGGGUGGUUGUGUAGUCUAGAAGGGGGUGCCUGGCCGUGUUGAUCAAGGUGUUUAUAUGUUGUUUGUUGGGGUGGUUGUGUAGUCUAGAAGGGGGUGCCCGGACGUGUUGAUCAAGGUGUUUAUAUGUUGUUUGUUGGGGUGGUUGUGUAGUCUAGAAGGGGGUGCCCGGCCGUGAUGUUCAAGGUUUGCCUGUUCACUCAUCCAGAAGGCGAGGUCAGUACAGAUGCAUCUAAGCUGGGACCGAGAGACUGAAAAACAGCUUCUAUCUCAAGGCCGUCAGACUGUUAAACAGCCAUCACUAACAUACAGUGGCUGCUGCCAACAUACUGACUCAACUCAAGCCACUUUAAUAAUGAAAAAUGUAUGUAAUAAAUGUAUCGCUAGCCACUUUAAACAAUGCCACUUUAUAUAAUGUUUACAUAUCCUACAUUACUCAUGUCAUAUGUAUAUACUGUACUCUAUAUCAUCUACUGCAUCUUGCCAUCUUGAUGUAAUAAAUGUAUCACUAGCCACUUUAAUCAAUGCCACUUUAUAUAAUGUUUACAUACCCUACAUUACUCAUCUCAUAUGUAUAUACUGUACUCUAUACCAUCUACUGCAUCUUGCCUAUGCCGUUCGGCCAUCGCUCAUUCAUAUAUUUUUAUGUACAUAUUCUUAUUCAUUCCUAUACACUUGUGUGUAUAAGGUAGUUAUUGUGAAAUUGUUAGAUAUUACUGCAUGGUCAGAACUAGAAGCACAAGCAUUUCCCUACACUCGCAUUAACAUCUGCUAACCAUGUGUAUGUGACAAAUAAAAUAAGAUUUGAGGUGUUAAAAUGUUUUUUGGGUUGUUUUUUUUUGGUGCGGUUGGUGAAUAUUUUACCCAUUGCCACUCAUUUUACCUGUAGGUAGGUAUUACUGUUCAAUUCAAAGUAAUUCAGAGUAAGUGAGUUCCAGUAAUCGUAGUAGAUGAUGGUCUGGUCUGCCUGGUUGUGGGGUAUUGUAGUAGUUGAUGGUCUGCCUGGUUGUGGGGUAUUGUAGUAGUUGAUGGUCUGUCUGGUUGUGGGGUAUUGUAGUAGUUGAUGGUCUGUCUGGUUGUGGGGUAUUGUAGUAGUUGAUGGUCUGUCUGGUUGUGGGGUAUUGUAGUAGUUGAUGGUCUGGUCUGGUUGUGGGGUAUUGUAGUAGUU
rnacentral:lncRNA from 1 species